rnacentral:lncRNA from 1 species
GCCAUUGACCGAUGGGCAGGGUUAACUUGACUUUUUCUCCUGCCUUGGGGGGGGGGGAUGUGGAUUCUUUUAAGAAUGUGGAUAUUUGGGUCAUCUUUGGCGCCCCCUAGAACGUAAACCGUAGGGAGCAGCGUCAUGAUUUCUACAACUUUGAAUGGCCAUGGGAUGUAGAUCGGCUUGAGCAAAUUUGGUGUUGGUGGGACGAAAGCCUUAGGAGGAGUUAGCCACAUUCCAAUGUGUGCGAAUCGGCAAAAAAUGCAAAAUAGCCCUUUAACCGUACAUUUUACAGAUACGUGCCCAUUGACUUUUUCGUAGAUCUUAUUGAGAUACACGUGUGUGUCAAAUUUUGUGUCAUUUUGACAAAGCGUAUAGGCGUGACAGUCAACAAUGUGUUUUUUCACCUUAGGGGACAAGAAAAAAAUGGAAUUUUUUCUCCUGCCAUGGGGGGGCGCACUUUUGGGGAGUAAAAAUUCCUUUACAAAUGUGUUGAUGGCUGGACAUUGCAUCAUCCUAGAAAACUUGGAGGCCAGUGAGGACAAAAAUAAAAAGUUAUAACACUUUUAAGAAUAUGGAUAUUUGGGUCAUCUUUGGCGCCCCCUAGAACGUAAACCGUGGGGUGCAGAGUCAUGAUUUUUACAACUUUGAAUGGGCAUGGGGUGUAGAUUGCCCUGAGCAAAUUUGGUGUCAGUGGGACGAAAGCUGUAGGACGAGUUAGCCACAUUCCAAUGUGUGCGAAUCAGCAAAAAAUGCAAAAUAGCCCUUUAACCGUACAUUUUACAGAUACGUGCCCAUUGACUUUUUCGUAGAUCUUAUUGAGAUACAUGUGUGUGUCAAUUUUUGUGUCAAUAUGACAAAGCGUACAGGCGUGACAGUCAACAAUGUGUAUUUUCACCUUAGGGGACAAGAAAAAAUGGACUUUUUUCUCCUGCCAUGUGGGGGCGCUCUUUUGGGGAGUAAAAAUUCCUUCACAAAUGUGUUGAUGGCUGGACAUUGCAUCAUCCUAGAGAAUUUGGAGGCCAGUGAGGAAAAAAAUAAAAAGUUAUAAGACUUUUAAGAAUGUGGAUUUUUUGGUUAUCUUUGGCGCCCCCUAGAACCUAAACCGUGGGGUGCAGCGUCAUGAUUUGUACAACUUUCGAUGGCCAUGGGGUGUAGAUUGGCCUGAGCAAAUGUGGUGCCGGUGGAACGAAAGCCUUCGGAGGAGUUAGCGAAAUUUCAAUGUGUGCGGAUCGGCAAAAAAUGCGAAAUAACCCUUUAACCGUACAUUUGACAGAUACGCCCGCACUGACUUUUUUGUAGAUCUUAUUGAGAUACAUGUGUGUGUCAAUUUUUGUGUCAAUAUGACAAAGCGUACAGGCGUGACAGUCAACAGUGUGAAUUUCCACCUUAGGGGGCGCUAUGGAGCCAUUUUGCAUUUUAUUGUUUGGGCGACUUCAGAAUAUCGAAUUUUUCACCAGGCCCGGUCGUCCUGCCAAAUUUCAUGAGUUUUCGCCAGUGGGAAGUGGGCCAUUUUCCAGUUUAAAGCGGAGGAAAAAUAAUAAUAAUAAUAAUAACUAGGACCCCGUUGGGGCACUGGCGGGCCCGAGCUGUGUCGCGUCCCCCCCCCAACGCGCUGCCUCCCCGUCCCAUUUGUGUCCUCUGGCCAUCGCCCUCUCUGGUAACGCCCAUCACUGCAAAGACCCUUUUCCUUCAUCGGCGUUUGCUGUUCUUCCUGCCAGUGCUUUUUGCUUUCACUUACACUUGCCACAGCCAGCCUCGUGAGUGCCUAGCCUAUUGGAUAUUACUGUCACCUACACAGGACAGUCAUUACCUUUCUAUUAAUACUUUGUUUUUUAAUUUCACAUUAAUUUCCAUAUUGUAUAAACAACUGGAAAAAACUUGAGCCCCUGCCCCUGUAUAAUCAUGUGCACGUCUCUGUUCUAGCUCUAAGGUGAAUCUUCACUGCUCAUGUUCUCCUCAGAAGCAGUCACCUCACUCCCCUCAGGUUACUGUACACAUGCACCAACUGCCUGCUUCAGGUUUGGAUGGAGCUUCAUGGUUGUCUUUUGGAGAAAUGACCAGUCAAGUUGUGUUUGAAAUUUGAUUUUUUUCAGGGGCAAAAGGAGCCUCUGCAUUCUUGUCAAAUAUGUAAAUAGCAUGUUUUUGCAGGUGCUAAAAACCAGACUCUGAGUGUGUGUGUGUGCGUGUGUGUGUGUGUCUGUGUGUGUGUGUGUGUGCGUUCAAGUCACAUGACAUAUUUAACCGGAUGUAGCUGCAAGACGGAGCCUCGUUGACUCUCCGUUUCAAUUUAUCUCAAAAGUGAGGACCUCAACCUAUAUACCAGUUUUUAAAUUGUGUUGAUAGGCCAAAUAAAACCAGAGUUAUGAUAAAUUAUGUCCGCGAUACUUGUUUUCUGCUUAUUUUGAUCACGUUCGGCGCUCGAUCGCGCUGUAUGAGACAGGAAAACAUAGCAUGCAGACAUUAGCGACAGGUCUUACAGGCGGAAAAGGCUUGCCAAAGGAAAAAAAAAACACACCACAACAUCUCUCCUAUUGGUGGAAAACUUCACCACAACAACCAAUCCAAAAUUAUAUGGUGACUGAUUGACAAGGGGCGGGAACUUACGUUCUUCCUGCAAUAUGAGAAGGGAGGGAGGGACUCUCAGCAGGGAUGCAGUCUGGGACACGUAGUUGCAAACCUAGCGACUUUGUUGUUAGAUUCAAUGACUUUUCAGACCCCCUAACGACUUUUUUUUAGAAAGAAAGUGACUUUUAUCGACUUCUUCUGGAGUUUAGAGACUCUGACAUGAAGCAGGCUUUCCUUACUGAGGAGUUAGCAACGCUGCUAAGGGUGCAGAGCCACACAUGCGCUCCGAGCUCUGCAUGGGAGACUGAAGCUGACAGAGCUGCAGCAGUUAGCAGGUUUCACCCUCAGAGACCACCAGGGGUUCAUGUUGAGGCAUUUUAAAAAAUUUUUUUGUGUGCCAUAGACACUGUCAGCACAAUCUGCAGUUACACUAACAAAAAUGCUGCAAAAAACAAAGAAUUAUGGAAAAAUUACACAUGGACUGACAUAGAGGAGGAUCUACACAAGUUUUUUACAUCAUGUUUUACAUCAUGCAUCAUUUACAUCAUGUUUUUUUGUAGUGGCAUAAAUAAAAAGUGACAUUUGUGAGACUAUACAGUGUUUUGUAAAUAAUUUUACAAAGAACGCCUGGGCCAUUGCCUGCAUUUUGAUGAAAAUAGAGGUAAAUCACUAUGUUCUUUGUUUAAAAUUUGCAUAUGUUUUGAAGUUUACAAUUUUUAUUUGAAGUUUAAGUUUUAAAAACAGUUCAUCACACAUAUUUGUGGUUUAAUUUCACAUUAAUUUCCAUAUUAUAUAAAUGACUGGAAAAAACUUGAGCCCCUGCCCCUGUAUAAUCAUGUGCACGUCCCUGUUCUAGCUCCAAGGUGAAUCUUCACUGCUCAUGUUCUCCUCAGAAAUAGUCACCUCACUCCCCUCAGGUUACUGUACACAUGCACCAACUAUCUGCUUCAGGUUUGAAAUGGAGCUUCAUGGUUGUCUUUUGGAGAAAUGAACAGUCAAGUUGUGUUUGAAAUUUGAUUUUUUUCAGGGGCAAAAGGAAGCCUCUGCAUUCUUGUCAAAUAUGUAAACAGCAUGUUUUUGCAGGUGCUAAAAAACAGACUCUGAGUGUGUGUGUGUGUCUGUGUGUGUGUGUGUGUGUGUGUGUGUGUGUGUGUGUAUGUUGGCGUGUGUGUAUAUGUGUGUGUAUCCUGCAGUACUCUGUACUCCUGCAGUGGCCAAAAAGACUUUAAAGAAUGUGGAUUUUUGGGUCAUCUUUGGCGCCCCCUAGAACUGCAGUACUCUGUACUCCUGCAGUGGCCAAAAUGACUUUUAAGAAUGUGGAUUUUUGGGUCAUCUUUGGCGCCCCCUAGAACGUAAACCGUGGGGUGCAGCGUCAUGAUUUUUACAACUUUGAAUGGGCAUGGGGUGUAGAUUGCCCUGAGCAAAUUUGGUAUCGGUGGGACGAAAGCCUUAGGAGGAGAUAGCCACAUUCCAAUGUGUGCGAAUCGGCAAAAAAUGCAAAAUAGCCCUUUAACCGUACAUUAUACAGAUACGCGCUCUUUGACUUUUUCGUAGAUCUAAUUGAGAUACACAUGAUUGUCAAUUUUUGUGUCAAUAUGACAAAGCGUUCAGGCGUGACACUCAACAAUGUGUAUUUUCAUGUAAGGGGACAAGAAAAAAUUGACUUUUUUCUCCUACCAUGGGGGGCGCUCUUUUGGGGAGUAAAAAUUCCUUCACAAAUGUGUUGAUGGCUGGACAUUGCAUCAUCCUAGAAAACUUGGAGGCCAGUGAGGACAAAAAUAAAAAGUUAUAAAACAUUUAAGAAUGUGGAUUUUUGGGUUAUUUUUGGCGCCCCCUAGAACCUAAACCAUGGGGUGCAGCAUCAUGAUUUGAAUAACUUUUAAUGGGCAUGGGGUGUAGAUUGGCCUGAGCAAAUGUGGUGCCAAUGGAACGAAAGCCUUCGGAGGAGUUAGCGAAAUUCCAAUGUGUGCGGAUCGGCAAAAAAUGCGAAAUAACCCUUUAACCGUAAUUUUGACAGAUACGCGUGCAUGGACUUUUUUGUAGAUCUUAUUGAGUUACAUGUGUGUGUCAAUUUUUGUGUCAUUUUGACAAAGCGUAUAGGCGUGACACUCAACAAUGUGUAUUUUCACCUUAGGGGACAAGAAAAAAUGGACUUUUUUCUCCUGCCAUGGGGAGGCGCUCUUUUGGGGAGUAAAAAUUCCUUCACAAAUGUGUUGAUGGCUGGACAUUGCAUCAUCCUAGAAAACUUGGAGGCCAGUGAGGACAAAAAUAAAAAGUUAUAAGACUUUUAAAUAUGUGGAUUUUAGUGUUAUCUUUGGCGCCCCCUAGAACCUAAACCUUGGGGUGCAGCGUCAUGAUUUUGAUAACUUUUAAUGGCCACGGGGUGUAGAUUGGCCUGAGCAAAUGUGGUGCCGGUGGAACGAAAGCCUUCGGAGGAGUUAGCGAAAUUCCAAUGUGUGCGGAUCGGCAAAAAAUGCAAAAUAACCCUUUAACCGUCAUUUUGACAGAUACGGCCGCACUGACUUUUUUGUAGAUCUUAUUGAGAUACAUGUGUGUGUCAAUUUUUGUGUCAUUUUGACAAAGCGUACAGGCGUGACAGUCAAUAGUGUGAAUUUCCACCUUAGGGGGCGCUAUGGAGCCAUUUUGCAUUUUAUUGUUUUGGCGACUUCAGAAUAUCGAAUUUUUUACCAGGCCCGGUCGUCCUGCCAAAUUUCAUGAGUUUUCGCCAGUGGGAAGUGGGCCAUUUUCCAGUUCAAAGGGGAGGAAAAAGAAGAAAGAAAGAAACAAAGAAAAACCCCUACAGGAAUAACAGGGCCUACGCCCGGCUGCUCUGCAGCUGGCUCGGGCCCUAACUAGGGCCCCGGUGGGGCACUGUCGGGCCCGAGCC